rnacentral:lncRNA from 1 species
GGUUUAUUUUUUUGUUUUUUUGUUAUUUUUAAAAAAAAUUUUGUGAUUAUAACUAUGCUAAGUACAUGAAGCCCUGAAGUUGCACACCCCAGUACAGUAGGUGGCGGUAUGCACCUGAACAAGUUGGUUGCGACCCGCCAGUAAAACCAGAGAGAGCGAGAGAGAGAGAGAGAGACCGGUUAGACACUUGUCAACUUUCUUCCACGUCUUCAAGAUUUCUUUUAUCGUCGACUUCAACCUGAGAUUCAGUGAACUGUUAAAGUUGGAUGUAUUAAUUCGGUUCGCACGCAUUUGAACUCAUCUUACAUGUGUUCAAAUGUGUCGAUAGAAAGAAUAACGUGAGGAAGAGCUUGCAACGGGACAGGACCCUUUCUAGGUGGGAUGUUGAUCCCUGUUGCAGUGAACAUUGGGGAUACUGCGAUUUUCACUUGUAAUGAGACAUGUAAUGGACAUCUCUUAUGGACAUUCCACACUAACAAUGAAAAUCUGGAAGUUUUAAAAUGUAUCCAAGAGAUUUGCACCAAAGGAGACAACUUUAAGAACAGAGUGAGCCUUAAGCCUGGAAACAUGUCUCUAGGCCUGUAUCCUGUUCUGUACAAUGAUGAAGGCUGGUACAUGGUCAAAUGUGAUUCAGUGUUUUGCUGUGAAUUCCACUUAGAAGCUCUUGUACCAACUACUGUGAGCACCUCAGUCAGAAGCAACAUCACACUACCCUGCUACGCACGCACAGAGAAACGAAUUACUGAUGACGCUGUGAACAUCCUGUGGAAAAAAGAUGGCCAAACGGUGUUACAAGUUCAAAAAGGAAUUACAACAUAUGGCUCAGGUUUUACAGGCAGGGCAUCAAUUUCACUUCACCAUUAUAAGCACGGAGAUCUUUCCCUUAACAUGCUCAGGGUCACCACAUCAGAUAAGGGAUUGUUCCGGUGCUAUCACAGAACUACAGAAGAACAGGGUUAUCCUGGUGCUGUCACUCUCAAUGUUACAGCUGAUCAAAAGUUCUAUGCAAAAAAGUUUGGUGGAAAUCUCACCCUGGACCUGUUUGGCUCUGACCGUGUAAAGGUAACUUUCACCGGUCAUGAUGCAGAUGAGACCCCUGUUUGCAGUGUGUUAGGGAACAACACUACAUGCUCAUCUGAGUACACGCACAGAGUGUCUGUCAUAAAUGACUUCCUCGUGCUGCGCGAGUUAACGUCCACUGAUACAGGCACAUUUACUGUGAAAAACAAGAUGGAUGAAGUCAUUGGUGUCAACACUGUCACUGUGGAGGGUGUGACCCAGAGACAUCACUACAUAACUCUGCCUGUGCUAAUUGAUUUCAUUCUCAUUUGCCUGUUCCUUUGCUGCCAAUAUCAUAGACAGUCGCAAGCACAGCAGUAUCGCUGCAGUUAUAAUGCAAUACAGUCUAAUGUGAAUAUAAAUCCAGAACCGAUGAGAGAGCCUGCAUGCAUUGGAUUGUCGCAACAAGAAACCAACCCAGAGCCUGACGUUCGUCCACACACACCUGUCGAGGAGACCAUGCCUGAGCCUGUGAGGCCCACUGAGAAGCAAGACAACACUGAAGAGUAUAUUACUUGUGGAAUAGGAAUUGGAGAAACAGUAUAGGAAUACUUUUAAGAGAACUGAAAAACUGCUCAAAUGUUCUUCCUCUGCUGUAUUAUAUGCUAUGAAAAAGAUGGCAUUAGAUUUAAUUGGAUAUUCUUUGAGCAACUGCAUAACUGCCAGUGAACAAUAUGUGAAACUUGAAGAGAAAUUAAUUAUAUUUUUACUUCAGGAAGGCCUUAUAGCUGCAGUCUUGUUGGUAAAAUUUAGGAAAAAAAUGUUUUGGCAAAAAAGAUCAAUUUUCCAUCAAUAGUGUAGCGAUGUAUGAAGCACAGCUCACACAGAAGUCACUUUCAAUUCCAAUUAGCCACAGAAUGUAAAAUUAAUGUAAAAUACUUUAAUUACAAAUCACAUAAUGGCCUUUUUCCUGAUAUGUUUACAUUGCUGAUAGGCAUCUUAAAUCAUUAAGGUUGGGCUGCACAACUAUUAUUCUUGCCAUAAUGAUAAUGUCAGAUGUGGCCACACUGUGCUGCUUCUUAUUAAGCAUUAUUCAGCACUUUUUCAUGAUAAACUUUAUUCUGCACUUUUUCUAUUCUACUACUAAACUUGUGGUAUAAGCUUUUUUUAUUGAAUUGGUUUUAUUAAGUAAAAAAAAUAAAGUAAUACACACAAU